GUUGGUGACGGACUGUGUGUAAAGGCUCAGAACACAUGAUUCUACUUCAGGAGGCAAAUUCAGAGGAACAGUGCCCAGAUGGGGCCUGGCUCCUCCACACACGUAACAAUUGGUCUUAUUGUGUGAGUUGGCAUUAUACCUCAUCCAUUCUAGCCACAAAUUAGUGUCUGAAAAACCAGUUUCCACUGCCAUAGUGUCUUCAAAGGUGGGGUUGGCUAUAGCUACCAUGUCAUGUAGUGGUUUUAAUGGGUUAACGACCAUGUGAGUGGUCCCUACCCAGUCUGGGGAGGUGAGCAUGUCUUGUAGGUAGAAUGUCCCCAGUGC